rnacentral:rRNA from 1 species
UAAGUAGACCGCCUGGGGAGUACGGCCGCAAGGUUAAAACUCAAAUGAAUUGACGGGGGCCCGCACAAGCGGUGGAGCAUGUGGUUUAAUUCGAUGCAACGCGAAGAACCUUACCUGGUCUUGACAUCCACAGAAGAAUCCAGAGAUGGAUUUGUGCCUUCGGGAACUGUGAGACAGGUGCUGCAUGGCUGUCGUCAGCUCGUGUUGUGAAAUGUUGGGUUAAGUCCCGCAACGAGCGCAACCCUUAUCCUUUGUUGCCAGCGGUUAGGCCGGGAACUCAAAGGAGACUGCCAGUGAUAAACUGGAGGAAGGUGGGGAUGACGUCAAGUCAUCAUGGCCCUUACGAUCAGGGCUACACACGUGCUACAAUGGCGCAUACAAAGAGAAGCGACCUCGCGAGAGCAAGCGGACCUCAUAAAGUGCGUCGUAGUCCGGAUUGGAGUCUGCAACUCGACUCCAUGAAGUCGGAAUCGCUAGUAAUCGUGGAUCAGAAUGCCACGGUGAAUACGUUCCCGGGCCUUGUACACACCGCCCGUCACACCAUGGGAGUGGGUUGCAAAAGAAGUAGGUAGCUUAACCUUCGGGAGGGCGCUUACCACUUUGUGAUUCAUGACUGGGGUGAAGUCGUAACAAGGUAACCGUAGGGGAACCUGCGGUUGGAUCACCUCCUUA